rnacentral:rRNA from 1 species
CACGUAGGGCGCGAGCGUUGUCCGGAAUUAUUGGGCGUAAAGAGCUCGUAGGCGGCCUGUUGCGUCCGCUGUGAAAGCCCGGGGCUUAACCCCGGGUCUGCAGUGGAUACGGGCAGGCUAGAGGUAGGUAGGGGAGAAUGGAAUUCCCGGUGUAGCGGUGAAAUGCGCAGAUAUCGGGAGGAACACCGGUGGCGAAGGCGGUUCUCUGGGCCGUUACUGACGCUGAGGAGCGAAAGCGUGGGGAGCGAACAGG